rnacentral:rRNA from 1 species
CCUACGGGAGGCUGCAGUGGGGAAUAUUGCGCAAUGGGGGAAACCCUGACGCAGCAACGCCGCGUGAGUGAAGACGUAUCUCGGUAUGUAAAGCUCUAUCAGCGGGGAAGAAGGAAGACGGUACCCGACUAAGAAGCCCCGGCUAACUACGUGCCAGCAGCCGCGGCAAUCCGUAGGGGGCGGGUGUUAUCCGGCUUUACUGGGUGGAAAGGGAGCGUAGCCGGCGUCGCAAGUCUGAAGUGAAAGCCCGUGGCUCAACCGCGGAACCGCUUUGGAAACUGGGAGGCUGGAGUGCUGGAGAGGUAAGCGGAAUUCCUGGUGUAGCGGUGAAAUGCGUAGAUAUCAGGAGGAACACCGGUGGCGAAGGCGGCUUACUGGACAGUGACUGACGUUGAGGCUCGAAAGCGUGGGGAGCGAACAGGAUUAGAUACCCCAGUAGUC